UAAGGAAUAUUGCACAAUGGGCGAAAGCCUGAUGCAGCAACGCCGCGUGCGCGAAGAAGGCCUUCGGGUCGUAAAGCGCUUUUCUGGGAGAAGAGGAAGGACAGUACCCCAGGAAUAAGUGUCGGCUAACUACGUGCCAGCAGCCGCGGUAAAACGUAGGACACGAGCGUUAUCCGGAUUUACUGGGCGUAAAGGGCAAGCAGGCGGCCUGUUAAGUCAGACGUGAAAGCUCCGGGCUAAACCGGGAGAGUGCGUUUGAGACUGGGAGGCUAGAGGGCAGCAGAGGAGCAUGGAAUUCCGGGUGGAGUGGUGAAAUGCGUAGAUAUCCGGAGGAACACCAGAGGCGAAGGCGGUGCUCUGGGCUGAACCUGACGCUGAGAUGCGAAAGCGUGGGGAGCGAAC
rnacentral:rRNA from 1 species